rnacentral:snRNA from 1 species
GUGUUACUCCGGUAGCACAUAUACUAAAAUUGGAACGAUACAGAGAAGAUUAGCAUGGCCCCCUGCGCAAGGAUGACACGCAAAUUCGUGAAAGCGUUCCUCAUUUU